GAAGACUAAUACCCAAUGAUAUCUCUAGAAGGCAUCUGAAAGAGAUUAAAGAUUUAUCGGUGAUGGAUGGGGAUGCGUCUGAUUAGCUUGUUGGCGGGGUAACGGCCCACCAAGGCAACGAUCAGUAGGGGUUCUGAGAGGAAGGUCCCCCACAUUGGAACUGAGACACGGUCCAAACUCCUACGGGAGGCAGCAGUGAGGAAUAUUGGUCAAUGGACGAGAGUCUGAACCAGCCAAGUAGCGUGCAGGAAGACGGCCCUAUGGGUUGUAAACUGCUUUUAUAAGGGAAUAAAGU
rnacentral:rRNA from 1 species